ensembl:lncRNA
AGGAGGGUGUGCCCGUCAUCUCCGAUUCUGUGGUGGACAGCAGAAUCACCAAGGCUCAGUUGGCGCAGUACUGCAGGCGGAGGACCCGCGGAGAGGAGGCCACCAUCCGCCUCGUUGAGAGCCUGCUGCAGGAGCUGAUGGGGGACAGAGGCAGGGACCUGCUUGGUGUUCCACUCCUGGACCGGGUGAGGAUGGAGCACAUCUGGCGGGUUCAGAAGAGGCACGUCAAGUGCAUCCAGGACCUGCCAGGUGUGUCUCUCUACACAGAGACCGGCACCACCACCGCCAAGGAGGGCGUCCUCCUGACAAAGUACAGGUGUGCGCGAGGUUCAACGUCCCUGGAGUCCUUUCACUGCCAUCUGAACCGCUUUAUUCCAGGGACCCAGGCCAAUGACCUCAACUUCCAGCUGUACCUGCUGGAUGGGCUCACCAGGUGGAACCAGGACCGGGCUGCUGCUGCUGUGACUGAGAGUAGAUCAGCCCUCCUCAGCUACUCGGGGGACCUGGUGCAGUGUGUCAACACACACGGCUCCAAGGUGUUUGGACGGAAGUAUGUCCCCUCCUUCCGCCCCCCCGCCAAGUACACUGGAGAGUUGAUAGGUGUCGACUACCUCUACAGGCAGACGGGGAACAGCAUGCAGGACAUGGAUCCUGAGUCUGAGGGCACAGAGCAGCUGCUGGAGGACUUGGCCCUGGGCGACGAGGCAGAGGAUGAUGGCUUCCAGGAGGACGUCAUUGACCCCACAGUGACGAGUCUGGAGGUCAUGUCUGCCUUCAUCGCCACUGCACCACCUGCCCAAUUCUCCUCCAGUGGUUCCUGGUGGUCCUCUCUUCCGCCGCCACCACCACCACCUGCUCAGCCCUCCACCAGUGGUUCCUGGUCCUCUCUUCCACCUCCUCCUUCUCCGCCGCCACCACCACCACCACCUGCCCAGUCAUCUGCUGUCACCGCUCCGGGUGCUGCCCCACAGGUUCCUGUAGAGCAGUCGGCAGUGGAUGUAAACAACAUCCCGGGCCUGGACAGGGUGGACCGCCUGGCGGAGUAUCUGGUGGGGCUGAGGAACCAGACCAGCCUGGCCCUGAGUAACCAGGACGUCAGCAGCAUCGUGGGCAUGUGGGAGGACCUGCUGCCCUACGACCAGCAGAAGGUGGUCUUUUCUGCACGGCACCAGGACAGGCUGCUCACUGGGCGAUUCAGGUCGCCCAAAAAAAAGGCUGAGUUCACGCCUGGUGUGGAGAGUGUCAGGAGGUGCACCAUAGCAUCCACUGCAUCUCCUGCACAGUGGCCAGACUGCUGCCAUGUCCUAGAGUCCAUCUUCGUCAGGCUCUGCAACAUCCACAAGUGUCCGUCCAAAAAGGGGAAGACGGACAAGCGCCUGACGAGAUGGACUCUGAUCCUGCAGGACUACCGCAGGAUAAGGCAGCUGAUCCUGGCCAAUGGGGCCGUGAUGACCAGCACCUCCCUGCAGCUGGUGGAGGUCAACCAGACCACCCUCAUACAGUGGCACAACAAGAGGGUGGCCAGGCAGGAUGUAUCAUUGUUGUGCCAGGGGGUUGACCUACCUGCCCCCAUCCCUGUGGCCACCGAGGCCUUACCAGCGGCUAUUGUCCGCCCUGCUAUUGCUCCUCAACAGCCUGGUGUUGAGCACAAGUACCAUCUUCCAGAGAGCACAGCGGGGCGGGCAAAAACCAAGAAGAGGAAGGCCACCGCUACAGCCACCGCAGUACCAGCUGUAAGGCCCCGGAUGGCCACAGAGAGGCAGCUGUAUCCCCGUCCUCCUCAGUUUGGAGCCCCUGCCCCUGUCUGCAGCAGCACCCCUGCCCUCAGCCGUGCCCCUGCUCCGGUUGGCUUUGCCCACCCAGGCCUCACCCAAGCCCCUGCCUUCUUCAUGACCCAAGCCCCUGCCUUCUUUGGCACUCCCGCCCUCCCCCAAGCUCAAUCCCACCCCAGUGCACCCCCCUUUGUGUUUGCUGUCCCCUCAGCAGUGCCUCCACAUGCCCCCCCCCGAAAAAAAAAGACAUAUAACAGGACUGGGGAAGCAAACAAAUGCCGAAAGUGUGGGAGCCCCGGACUGCAUUUACUGGACACAGCCAGUUCAGGGGGACCAUUUACUGCCCCUCAAUUGAGCAGGUGACAAAGGAGCAGUGGUUGGAG